rnacentral:lncRNA from 1 species
AAGCAUUCCAUGUCAUGGCUGCAGCUGAGUAGACAGAAAUUCUUUGCAUGAAAAUCCCUCACAAGGCUAGCUGUCUAAAUCCAAUGAGUCCUAUAAGGGAAAGAAACAGGGAGGUGCAAGCAGGUGCAGUCUUCUCCGUGCCCAUCUUCUCUUCUAUGCUAUCCUUACACAUGUACAUAACGAGUGUAUAGACAAGUGUGAGUUCUUCAACAUUGCGAGUGUAAAUCUUGUAAAUCAAGACCCUGUUCAUUUGGGGUUUUUUGCUCCCCCUAUUCCUUUCCCUCCUAUUUAUUCUUUUUAGACUCCUACCUGGGGCAUCUUAGUACUUUUUUUUUUUUUUUUUAAUUUAGGAAACUGUGGAAAAGUUCUUAGCUGAGUAAAUAGUUUUGUGUUUAAGAUUUCUUCUUUGCCUCACAGCUGUGGGGGUCUUGUUACCCACAUCGCCAACACACACUGCUGUGCUGUCAUGGGGUGCAUCUAAGCACCACCCCUUAUCCUGUCACCAGGUGACUUGUUAUGCUCAUUUUUGUUCUCUGGAAGCUAUAGUGAGCCUGAUGGCUUUCAUAUUUGAAAAAAGAAGAAAGAAAAGAAAAUGUCUCCCUGAACUUCCUUAAGCUCCUCUAGCAUCUUCAGUCAGUCAGAUGCAGCUCCUCAGAAGCCUGACUCAUUCUUGCUUUCAGUUGAGGCUGCUCCAGUCCCUCAGCUCCUGCUGUUUGCCGGAUGGGAAACCCUUGCAGGUAGACAGUAGCUCAUAGCCUGGCUGCACGUUACAGUGUGUAUAAGGAGUUGGAUAUCUCUGACCCCACAGGUGACAGUCAGAGAUUUACUUUACAACAAACGUCCGUAAUCUGUUUUCUAUACUGCUGGUCAAAAAUAUUUAUAGGAGGACAAGAGAUGAGCUUAUAGUACCUGACAGGAGACAGUUGUCAUCCAAGUGAUGACAAGAGUCCUACUGUGGAAGCUACCACGAGCACACAAGGCAGGUUCAGUUUUGGGGGCUCAUUUCUGGCUGGAUAAGCUAUAAGCAGAGAUGCUGAGCUCUGGAGAAUUGGUGUUGGUGCCUACCCUCACCCAGGACACAGGAGUGGAGUUUAUUCACAGGCCAUUACACCCUCAAAAAAAUGUCCUCUGUAAUUCUCAGGAAAGAUUUCAAUUAACAUUCAGAUUGGUAGAUCUGAUGACAUGUUGAAAAUUGUCUACAUUUGGCUGUCUUUGUAAGUUAGUAGUCAAGAAUGAGGGUCUGUCACCGAUUGUUCCCUCAGAAAUUUCCUCCUCACACCAACUUCCUUCCUCUGGUCCCUGAGAUAUAGGUGACCUGUGGCCUGCAACAGCAGCCAACUAUGUACUAUCUAGGGAGAUGUGACAGAGCACAGUUAGGCCAGGAAAUCUACAGCAAACAGUUAAUUAUGAUGUACACCCAUUUCAUGCAGAGCAAGAGGAGAUGGAAUGGAGGCUGCUUUUUGCACUGGAGGCUCCCUCAGGACUGAGUCAGCAUGCCAGUCUCCUGGGGAGAGUUAGUGUGGCCUUUCUGAUUCUGGCCUCUUAACCCAGACCCCACUCAGGCGUCUAGUAGGAGCUUGCUGCUGUUGCAGUGACUGGGGCACUGAAGAGGUAAAGAAGCUUGAACCAUUCCUGGCUCCACUUUGUGGGACUGAGGGGCCUUUUCCUUUUCUUCUUUAACAUAGCACAGUACAGCCUCGCCACUAAACUAGUCACCCUGUUCAUAGUUUUUACUGAAUUUGCAAACUACUCUUACUUCCUCUCAUAACCACCUUUAUCAUCAACCACGAGGGGUGGGAGAGGUGCACCGUGUCUCUGCAAUAAACUUGUGCCGGGUUCUACCUCCUUGUGCAAAGGGUAUUUUAUACACGGGCUCUGGGCUUCCUUCUUGAUCUGACAUGGUGCAUCUGGAGACAUCUGAAGGAGUCCAAAUACCUUUUGAAGCAAAGUCAGAUGUAAAGUCUGGGGGGCUUCUGUCUUCAGUUCCCUUUUGUACUGCUGCGCUGCAUAGGACUGUCCAUCUGAAUGAAGAGUGCACGCUGUUCCCCCGAUGCCACGUUGCUGCCUUCAGCCUCUCCCAGGAACCUGCUCCCAAGUGUCCAGAAUGCAGUGCUGCCAUCAUUUUGAUAUGUAACUUUCAAAUCCAGUCUCAUGCAAUACAAGUGUGUCAGCUUCACUGAGCAGGGUUCAUUUGCCCACAAGUAGAAAUGCUCGAUCCUCACAUGGAAAGUACUCUAUGUAUUUAGGUUUUUGUUGUGGUUUUGUUUUUUCAUUUUUGUUUGGAUUUUGUUUCUGUUUUUGUAAAGUUCUUAAAUAAAAUUAAACAAAU